rnacentral:rRNA from 1 species
UGGGGAAUAUUGGACAAUGGGCGCAAGCCUGAUCCAGCAAUGCCGCGUGUGUGAAGAAGGCCUGCGGGUUGUAAAGCACUUUCGUUGUGGAAGAAGGGAGUGAUUCUAAUAAAGUCACUUCUUGACGGUACACAAAAAAGAAGCACCGGCUAACUCUGUGCCAGCAGCCGCGGUAAUACAGAGGGUGCAAGCGUUAAUCGGAAUGACUGGGCGUAAAGGGCGUGUAGGCGGAUGCUUAAGUUAGAUGUGAAAGCCCUGGGCUUAACCUAGGAACUGCAUCUAAUACUGGGCAACUAGAGUAUGGGAGAGGGAAGUGGAAUUUCCGGUGUAGCGGUGAAAUGCGUAGAUAUCGGAAGGAACACCAGUGGCGAAGGCGGCUUCCUGGCCUAAUACUGACGCUGAGGCGCGAAAGCGUGGGGAGCAAACAGGAUUAGAUACCCCCGUAGUCC